AUUGAACGCUGGCGGCAUGCCUUACACAUGCAAGUCGAACGGCAGCACGGGAGCAAUCCUGGUGGCGAGUGGCGAACGGGUGAGUAAUAUAUCGGAACGUGCCCAGUCGUGGGGGAUAACGUAGCGAAAGCUACGCUAAUACCGCAUACGAUCUAUGGAUGAAAGCGGGGGAUCGCAAGACCUCGCGCGAUUGGAGCGGCCGAUAUCAGAUUAGGUAGUUGGUGGGGUAAAGGCUCACCAAGCCGACGAUCUGUAGCUGGUCUGAGAGGACGACCAGCCACACUGGGACUGAGACACGGCCCAGACUCCUACGGGAGGCAGCAGUGGGGAAUUUUGGACAAUGGGCGCAAGCCUGAUCCAGCAAUGCCGCGUGCAGGAUGAAGGCCUUCGGGUUGUAAACUGCUUUUGUACGGAGCGAAAAGGCUCUCUCUAAUACAGCGGGCACAUGACGGUACCGUAAGAAUAAGCACCGGCUAACUACGUGCCAGCAGCCGCGGUAA
rnacentral:rRNA from 1 species